rnacentral:snRNA from 1 species
GUACUCGCUUCGGCGGUACAUAUACUAAAAUUGGAACGAUACAGAGAAGAUUAGCAUGGCCCCUGCGCAAGGAUGACACGCAAAAUAAAUAAAAAAAAAUUAAAAAA